GAGCAAGAAGCAUACAGUUCAGUUCUAAGAGCCUUUAAAGCUCAGGCUGAUGCCAUUACUUGGGAGAAGGAAAGUCUCAUAUCUGAAUUAAGAAAAGAGUUAAGAUUGUCCAGUGAACACCAUCGAGAAUUUCUUGGUAGAGUCAAUGAAGAUGAUGUUGUCCGAAGAAUAAGG